rnacentral:rRNA from 1 species
CCUACGGGAGGCAGCAGUGGGGAAUAUUGCGCAAUGGGGGCAAGCCCUGACGCAGCAGACGCCGCGUGCGGGACGAGAGGCCUUCGGGUUGUAAACUGCUUUUGUACGGAGCGAAACGGCACUCUCUAAUACGGAGUGCUAAUGACGGUACCGUAAGAAUAAGCACCGG